CCCCUCUCAGGGUUACACCUGGAGAAUGUCCAGCUCUCUACCAGUCUUGGCUAGAGGAGGGAGAGUCAAGCAGAAGCUUAACCAUUCCAUUCCUAACUUGGGCAGUAGCUAGCAAGUGGAAGGCAAUCUGCUUCAAAU